GUUGGUUGCUAAAUUCUUCGCAACUUUUCUUUAAUCAUUCUGUUGCUCAGGAAAUUAUAUUUCUCGGAAAACUUCGCUGUUGUGUCAGUGCAUUUACCAAACAAUUCUGCAUACUUGUAUUACAUGGCUUUCACUACUUUGCGUCCGUUCAACUUAGCCUAUGGAAGUGUGCUACCACACUCUGGGUACUAUCAGGUCAGCUACGGGGAAUCUACAAGGAAUUCAGACUACAGCUACAAUGAACAAGGGAAUUACGGAUCUGAGAAAAUUGAUGGACGGUUGAAC